rnacentral:rRNA from 1 species
AAAUGGAUUGAGAGCUUGCUCUCAWGAAGUUAGCGGCGGACGGGUGAGUAACACGUGGGUAACCUGCCCAUAAGACUGGGAUAACUCCGGGAAACCGGGGCUAAUACCGGAUAACAUUUUGAACUGCAUGGUUCGAAAUUGAAAGGCSGCUUCGGCUGUCACUUAUGGAUGGACCCRCGUCYCAUUAGCUAGUUGGUGAGGUAACGGCUCAMCAAGGCAACGAUGCRUAGMCSACCUGASAGGGUGAUCGGCCACWCUGGGACUGAGACACSGCCCASACUCCUACGGGAGGCAGCARUARGGAAUCUUCCGCAAUGGACGAAAGUCUGACGGAGCAWCRCCGCGUGAGUGAUGAAGGCUUUCGGGUCGUAAAACUCUGUUGUUAGGGAAGAACAAGUGCUAGUUGAAUAAGCUGGCACCUUGACGGUACCUAACCAGAAAGCCACGGCUAACUACGUGCCAGCAGCCGCGGUAAUACGUAGGUGGCAAGCRUUAUCCGGAAUUAUUGGGCGUAAAGCGCGCGCAGGUGGUUUCUUAAGUCUGAUGUGAAARCCCACGGCUCAMCCGUGGAGGGUCAUUGGAAACUGGGAGACUUGAGUGCAGAAGAGGAAAGUGGAAUUCCAUGUGUAGCGGUGAAAUGCGUAGAGAUAUGGAGGAACACCAGUGGCGAAGGCGACUUUCUGGUCUGUAACUGACACUGAGGCGCGAAAGCGUGGGGAGCAAACAGGAUUAGAUACCCUGGUAGUCCACGCCGUAAACRAUGAGUGCUAACUGUUA